UAUUUAUAAUAUAAUCAUAGGUGUAGAUUUUCGAGUAUUAAAAUUAAUCCUUUCUUUGAUCACAGUCAGAAGUAGAAAUGAGUCUACGGAGUUUGAUAGACCAAGUUGCCAAGAAUAGCAUAAUCUCGCGUCUCUCUGCGUUCGAAUUCGGGGAAUUUUGAAUCGAUCGAAAUGGGGUGAGAUUUGUGGUCGUAGAAAUGGCGCGGGAGGGUGGGAAAAUUCCGUGAUUCGAUCGGCCAUCCUUCUAGGCGUCCCUUCUCUCGAUUAGCUCGGUUGACGAGGAGAAACUUGGGCACUUCAAUCCGCCGAGUAAUUGGCCUAAGGAAAAAGCCGGAAAGUUAAAUUACAUUUACUUGUUAAUAUCAAAUUAAUCACCACUUUUAAUUCGCCAAGUUGGAGACUCGCUCCCGUAAGAUUAACACAAUCGCGGAACUCGGCGGUGCCGCGAAAAUCCUCGAUAUAUUUCAGAAAUGAGAGAAACUCGCGCUUUUUUCUCAUAUUUUUUUCGAUGAUCCCGUAUUGCUUUUUUUUUCUCAUCGCGAUCGCUUUUAAAUUCAGCCUCGGUUGCGUAAGGGGGGGUUAAGGGAGAAAGCGGAGAAGCAGAGAUUCGGUGGGACUCUCGGAUUGAACGGCAUUCAUAAAAAAAUGGAAGCUCCCUGACGAGUUUCCGAGAUGCGCGCGUGGUCCAGUUUCUCUUUUUAUUUUUUUCUUUUCCUUUUGCUUUUCAGUUGUUUCUCGAUCGUUAAUUCGUCGGAUUAUCGCAAAAAAACGGCAAAUCUAAGGAGAUUACGUUAAACAGAGAAUUAAAAGGCGGAGUUAAAUCGCGCCGCUUUCCACAUAUCUCGUGUAAAUACGCGGCUCUCGGAGAAUCGGAACUUUGAAGAAAGAACAUCUUUGACCGGGUUGCAUUAAGAUAAUAUUGACGGAGAUAAAAGGCACUUCGCACUCCGUUUGGCAAGAUCAAGCCCUUUGAAAAGCUAAAACACCCAGUCGACACGCUUUCUUGAUGUUCGACCCGUCGGUAUAAUUCACGCGGGAUUAAUCAGGGGGUCGCUCGUUCUUUUCCACCGCGGCUCUUUAAGGGAGAAAUUCAAGCGACUUCGCCGAUCGGCAUAUUUCGCGAACGGAAGCCUGCGAACUGUCGUGAAUUAAAAAGCAGACGAGAAGAUUAGAGAUUCUGAUUAGAUAAUAUUAACGGCAUCCACUUUUUGCCAUCUCCUUCCGCAGGGCAGGAUAUCCUGGACUUACACGGUCGUUACACAUCCCCGGGGAAGCCGCCUCUCGCGCGCCGUGUUCGGCUCGUCGAACACGGCGAUUUUCCGCAAAGAGCGAUAAGGCCGUUGCGGAAGUGGGCCGCCGUGACACUUCGCCACGGCCGUUGAAUCUCGCCGGAAGUCACGUCGGCGGCGGGUAAAUGAGGCGUGCACCCCGCACUAUAGAACUCGAACGAUCAGCGCCAGGCCUGGAACGAGCCAAUUCGCGUGGCUGUACACAACCGCUUACACGAGAUUAUCGCCGCGAUUUCACGACCGGGAAUUUUCCCCCAAGAAUUCCAUGGACGGCCGGGAUACCGAUAUUACGGGGCGAUACCGGCUACUUUGAAACCCGAGUCUCUGUAAUCCGAUUUGUUAGGAAUCAGGCUGCCCGACGACGAUAUCUUUGCUCGACGUUGCUCGAUCAACAGAGAGAAGUCGAUCGCCUCGGAAAUGUCUGAAAUGAUUAAUGGUGUCAACGUUGUCGCGAUAAUAUCGCGAUAAUAUCGCGAGGAAAGGCGCCAUCGUUUAUUUCCAAGGUGACGCGAGUCGAGAAUCGAGGAGGGCGGGUGGUGAAAAGGCAAAGCUAGAAAAAUCCUCCGAGGUUUUGCACUGAUUUCGCACAAAAUUAGUCGUAACUCUUAUAUCAAACUGGAUAUUGGUAUUAAAAAUUUUUUUUAAUUGAUAAAUGUCGGAUUAUAAUUUAUUAACAAUCUAAUUGGAUUAUGUGGAUUGAAUAAUUAAUUGUCACUUUAAGUUUGGCGGUUGCAAACGUUGAUCUAGAAAAUCUGUGAAAUAUCUCGUUAUUGUGGAAUUUUCUGAUUUUGUACAAACGCGUAAACGCGUCUUUAUGUAUUUAAAAAUAAUAAUUGACAAAACAAACGAAACAAGCAUGAUCAUCAAGGAAAAAUAAUUAUCUAUCAUUUCUGUAUUAAAUGGCAAUUUUGCCGCGUGAUAUUAAUUUUAAAAAGCUUUGAAAAAUUUCUUAAUCGCAUCGACUACAUUUAAUGGCGGCUUAUUUAAGAGUCAACUUUCCCAUCUUUUCUUCGGUAGAUUCAAAUUUAGAUUUAAGUUUACAGAACGCUUCGCGGCUCUCUAGAUCUUGUUAUAAAAUCUGCUGGGAUUCUGGUGAAGAAUCCUGGAGGAAAGUGUGAAGAAACGAGUUGGACCACUCGCAUUUUAUGCCCUUCUUCUCCUUCCUCGAUUUAAUGUCAUGGUUCGCCAUGAUCGCGAAUCGAUCGCUCGCGAUCGUACUUUUACGAAUUGUCUCUCACGACGAGUCCACGAUAUGUGCCGGCGACUCGUCGGCAGGAAGCAAAAUACUAUCGAUAGUUUCAUGCGUAGUGCGAGAGUGCGCGAGAGCGUCUCAGAUCGUGAAUUGGAGGACGAAGAAUUUGUAGUGAAUCGUUGUCGUCGUCGUCGACAUCCUUUUUAACAUGCGCCCUGAUCGCGUAAGGUAUUGUUAGCCGAGCCGGCGAUCGUCGACGAUCGAGACGCACAUUUCCGUCAAAAAACGUACAUGUAUAGGAGAAUGUUAGAUGUAUAGGAGAAGAUUCCUUCGGCCCUCGUCCGGAUUCGCGCGAUGCUUCUCGCAAACCGUUCGCGUAAACCAAAGGCGAAGAGUCCGAGGAUUCACUUUGGGCGGCGUUAGUUAGCGCGUGCGGUCCGAAAAAAAAAGAGUAGCGCGGUAGUUGGCGAUAAAACUAUGAAAAUUAAUAGUCGAUUAGCCGAUAUAGUUAUUAUCACUAAUUAUUAGUCUCGAGUGAAAGCGAGAAGAGAGAAAGUGAGAGAGAGAGAGAGAGAGAGAGAGAGAGAGAGAGAGAGAGAGAGAGAGGGAAGGUAUCGCACACCUGUCUCUCGUAUAUUGAAUUCUCGAUCGUCAUCGAUCGUCUCGAGCCGUCAGAUUCGUGGAUCCUCGGAUUCUGAAGGCCGUUGCGAGCUCUCGGAAACUUGAGAAACUUUUAGAUUUUUACAUUCUCGAGUCGCGAGAUUUCCGAAUCUUGGAAUCCCCGAGUUCUUGAAUCCCUGAAUUCUGAAAUCUCGAAGGGCGAUACGCUUAGAAAUUAAUUAUUGAUCGGACAAGAUCUUUCUCGGAGGUUCUCGGAUGUAUACGCCAAAAAAUAUCCUGGAAAUUUCCGAAUCCGUGAGAUUUUCCUGGAUAUUCGUAUAUGACAAAGCCUAGGAAAAUCUAUGAACGAUGGACGCUUUCGAUAUGUUUUUUAUCAUCGGGUUCUUAGGUCCCGCGGUCGCAAUUUCCCGUACGCCGAGGCUCGAGAAUUACGAAUCCAAUUUCCGAGGUGAGACCUAAUAUAUUAUUCUUUUCCUCAAUAAAAGAGAAAUAGAGAGAAAGGGGGGGGAGGGACAGGUGUCCAAAAUUUGUGGUGUAUUGUACGAGCUGGUAUUUUUUCGGUGUUCCGCGGCGAUAGAGUGUAAAAUUAGCGACAAGUAAUAUGCAUAAAAAAAAAAAAGAAAAGAUGGAGACCGCGGUCGUCGUCGGUAUACAUAGAGGUAUUUACGUAAGCGGCGUCGUAAUGUGUAUAGAUAAAUAAUUUUGGGAAAGCGACGCGCGAAUGCCGUGACGAUGAUGUUACUACCGCAUGACGAAUAAUAACACGAUUAAUUAUUAUUAACGAUUAUUAUAAUUAAAUAUUGUCCCGAUUAUUAUUAGAGAGAGAGACGUAUGGAGAUUUAUUACUGCGACCACGAAAGCUCGCAAAGAAGAAAAAAAAAACUUUGAUCUUUUAUCGCAAGGA
rnacentral:lncRNA from 1 species